AAUCAAAUAAUCAAGUUAAUUAUAAUUAAUUAAUCCAAAUUAACUAAUUAAACAAAAUUUAAUUAAUUAAUUAAUUUAGUUAGAAUGAAAAUGGAAUAAGUAACAAUGUCGAUUCAAAACGAUAAUGUGCUCAAAAACCGAUUUGUACGUAAUGACCACAUGAGUAACGUCAUACGCAAAAUCAUAACGCGGCGAAAAUAUUCUAUUGAUGUAUUAAAAUUUGGGCGGCAUAACGACAUGAAAUUUGCCGAAUCCACAAAUGGAGAUCCGAUUUAGAGAUGAAAAAAAACAAAAAACAAAAAAAAACUAAAAUAACAACAAUGGUAUUAUUUAUGAAAAUUUAC
rnacentral:lncRNA from 1 species